rnacentral:lncRNA from 1 species
GCUGAGCUAGGACAAGAAGAUUGCUGACCUGGAAAUGUGGGAGAUGAUGUUGACACCUUUAAUAACAAGGAUGAUUUCAGAAGUUUAUUUAUUAGGGAGGGAAGAGGUAUAAAGAAACUUCAGUUAUCUGAUACAAGCUCAGUAGGGGCAGGUCUCUGUCACUAUCAGACACAAGGAGGGAUGAAUUGCAAGAGGAGGAUUUUCAUGAUGGAGAGAAAAGAAGAUACCCUCUUUGGCAUCCAAGUACACUCAGCUAGUAUUUUCCAUCAUUUUGGAACCUAAUUUUCCCAUGAGACUUCCUAAAGGAAAGAAUCAGAAUCAACAUUUCAUGAAUAAAAUGCCAGAACUACAAAA